rnacentral:rRNA from 1 species
GAGACCCACGCCAACAGUUGCCAGCAUGUCCUCCGGGAUGGUGGGGACACUGUUGGGACCGCCUCUGCUAAAGAGGAGGAAGGAAUGGGCAACGGUAGGUCAGCAUGCCCCGAAUUAUCCGGGCUACACGCGGGCUACAAUGGGCAGGACAAUGGGUUUCGACACCGAAAGGUGAAGGCAAUCUCUUAAACCUGCUCGUAGUUCGGAUUGCGGGUUGCAACUCGCCCGCAUGAAGCUGGAAUCUGUAGUAAUCGCGUCUCAAAAUGGCGCGGUGAAUAC